ACAGAGUCGUGGUACCAACAUCUGAACUCUAGUGAUGUCAAACUUUUGAUUUGUCCCUUUGUGAAUAAAGUUUACAUCAUGCUUGACCGGGCAGCCAGUCAGGACGUGGCAGGCCAGAGAGAUGAAAGAAGAAGAGAACAGAAGAGGGGAAGGUGAUUAAACAUCUACAGAUUCAAAGAGCCUGCUUUUUCCUUUUUUCUGUGCAGAGAUUGCAUUCUGGCUAUCUGGCAAAACAGAGGGAGUACAAGAGGAUUAUGGCCAAUAGCUAAUGCGCUAUUUAGUGCUUGCAGCGCUUCCAGGAGAGAAUGGUCGUUCAAUUUGUAAAUUCAUAUUCUGGAGAGCACUGGCAUAUGCAUGUGAGAACACACAUUUACUACAAUGGCCUGAAAAACAAGUCAUUUUAUCAGAUCUGUACCAAACUUAUGGAGCGGACUGGUUCAUGCUUUUAUAAUCAUUAUAUCAUUAUACUGCAUUAGACUGUACAACAUGCCCCAUUCUCACCCAGGAACUUUUUUUCUACCCUCAAGUGGUUUGAAUCAAUGGAUGCGUCGAAGAGCAACGUGUAAUUAGUAUCUUCCUCAAGGAUACUGGAGCAGCCAGGAAUCAAACCACCAACUAUCUGAUUGAGACAGACCAGGCAAGCUGACCUGGCGUUGGCCAGCCCUCGAUGGCAUUGACUAGUUAAGUAAGUAAGAUGUUUGCCUCGCUGACUGAAGAUCAUAGUCAUCCCUCUACUACACCAUCGGACUUCAUUAUCCAGCAGCACAGGAGACACACAAAGGCCUUAAGUGGGUCUCAGGAGACUUAUGAGCCCACAAAUCACUUCCAUCUCAGUGUUUGAUGGUUUACUUUAUCCUUCACUUUUUCUCUGUUCUUACCUGUUCUUGGUGUGAUAGUUUCUGAUCUCCUCAGUGAACGGUGCAGCAGAAAGACUGCAGGAGAAACGGAGAGAAAUGAAAGAAGGCAGAGGGGAAGACAGAGGAGAGAAUGACAGAAGGAGAGAAUCACCGAUGCCCAACAGCCUUCUGCAGGCCUCUGAUUCAUCCCUGCUGUUUUUUAAACACCUGACAGACAAUAAACUGAAAUGUCAAUAAUGCUCUCUACUGAAUUCGAUAGUAGCUAAAGCUAUCACAAUAGCAGAUCUAUGCUACUAAAAAGUUUUAUAUAAAAUAUUAAUCUAUAGUCAUAAUGAGGCCAGAGACUCAAAUCCAGGCAAAAUCAUUUUUAUCAGGAACUGCAGCUACAUGAAAAGUUACCUUUUUCUUAUUAUACUUACUAUGUGUUCAUGCACAACUCUGCAUAGUCUUCCUCGCCUCACACCCAAACGGUCAGACCAUCUGUCAGCUGGACAUUUCUUCCUGUUAAAAGGGAGUUUUUUCUUUCCACAGUCACCAAUGUGCUUGGCUCACAGGCGGUCUUCUGAAUGUUGGGCUUUUCUCUGUAUUAUUGAGGGUUUUUACCUUACAAUUGUCACGGAUCCGGCUCUGGGGACUCGGGGUCCGUGGGCAGUGGGGACUAUGACUAUUAUUGUUAUUAGUAUUAUCAUUAUUAUUAUUAUUAUUGUCAUUACUAUUAUUAUUUGGUGUGUUCUCUGCACUGCCCCUGUGCGCAUCUGUUUGUAGGCAGGUAUGUGUGUGUGUGUGUGUUGCCUUUCUUCUGUGGCCAAGUUACAGGCACCUUCAGCCCUGGGGGCGUGGCCUGACUUGAGGGCUGGCCACACCCGAAGUCCUUGCCGCACACCUGCUCCUCAUCUGGGCUCGUCGGGGGAGCUAUUUAGAUGAGCGAUGGCGCUUCCACCGACGCUGGAUUAUUGCGUUUGACUUCACGAGGAAUGUGGGACGAGAAGGAGCAGUGAGCACAGGGUGUGCAAAUUCCCUGCUGACUCGGCCUCAGGAUGGCUAGAGGCAAGAAUCAAGCGCACCCAAAUGAGCGCAUCAUUGAUCAUGUGCACAUCACGCAGAGGGAGAGUGGGAGUGAGAGACGAAAGGCGCAGCGACAGAGCAUGGGAGUUGUAACGCAGUUUGUGUGAUUCCGUGUGCGUUAAUGAAACUAAAACCAUGCUUAUAGUCACCAAUACUGCAUCUGCCACAAUUAUAAGUGCAUAUCUGGCUGUACCACAGUUGGAUUUAUCAUGGCAAGCCCUGCUGUAACCAGUUCUUCUGUGAAGUUUCAUUAAAGACAGUGAACUAAAAACUCCUGGACUGCUGCAGUCUUUCUGACCGAAGACUUAGGCCAGACUCGUAUACACCGCCCUUCCCAUAUAUAUAUUCUACAAGUGGUCCUUCGAGCCGGAUCGUAUACUAGCUGCGCUAUGGCUACACCCAGAGAGUUUAACGACGACCAGCCUGCACUGAGUCCCCGUCCCAGCAGGGUGCGACGCAUUCCCGGACAUCUGGAGGACUUUGAACUCACCUACC